UACGAAGGGUGCAAGCGUUACUCGGAAUUACUGGGCGUAAAGCGUGCGUAGGUGGUGAGUUAAGUCUGUCGUGAAAGCCCCGGGCUCAACCUGGGAAUGGCGAUGGAUACUGGCUCGCUAGAGUGCGGUAGAGGAGAGUGGAAUUCCCGGUGUAGCAGUGAAAUGCGUAGAUAUCGAGAGGAACACCAGUGGCGAAGGCGAGUCUCUGGACGACUCCUGACACUGAGGCACGAAAGCUGGGGGAGCAAACAGG
rnacentral:rRNA from 1 species